CGGGGGACAACAUUUGGAAACAGAUGCUAAUACCGCAUAACAACGUUGUUCGCAUGAACAACGCUUAAAAGAUGGCUUCUCGCUAUCACUUCUGGAUGGACCUGCGGUGCAUUAGCUUGUUGGUGGGGUAACGGCCUACCAAGGCGAUGAUGCAUAGCCGAGUUGAGAGACUGAUCGGCCACAAUGGGACUGAGACACGGCCCAUACUCCUACGGGAGGCAGCAGUAGGGAAUCUUCCACAAUGGGCGCAAGCCUGAUGGAGCAACACCGCGUGAGUGAAGAAGGGUUUCGGCUCGUAAAGCUCUGUUGUUAAAGAAGAACACGUAUGAGAGUAACUGUUCAUACGUUGACGGUAUUUAACCAGAAAGUCACGGCUAACUACGUGCCAGCAGCCGCGGUAAUACGUAGGUGGCAAGCGUUAUCCGGAUUUAUUGGGCGUAAAGAGAGUGCAGGCGGUUUUCUAAGUCUGAUGUGAAAGCCUUCGGCUUAACCGGAGAAGUGCAUCGGAAACUGGAUAACUUGAGUGCA
rnacentral:rRNA from 1 species